GGUGUUUUUAUAUUUUUAUGUUCUUGCAUCCAAUAUGUAAAUAUUAUUUCCUAGAAAAUCUGCUAAACUUGAGUAAAAUAUGCUUUUUUUGUGUUGUGUUGUUGUUGUUGUUUUUUUUUUUUUGUGUUUUAAUUGUGUGGGUACGUGUGGAGGGGAUUGGGUGAGGGCGGUUAUUAUUUCAAGAAUUUCAAUAUAAUAAUUUUUUUAAAAGAUUAAUAAGGCAUCGUUAACCAUUAUGAACUUAAAAUGCUUGAUAAAUAAAAUUGAGAAUGGAAAUAGGGAAUGUGUCAAAGAAAAAACAACCCAACCAUAGAGCAGACAACAGCCGAAGGCCACCAAUGGGACAAAAUAAUACAUACCUGUACUUCCUAUAGAAUUGUUGUUUUGGUGAAGACUACCCUUUUUGAAUCGGUUUCAGGG
rnacentral:lncRNA from 1 species